CUCGAGGACGAACGCUGGCGGCGUGCUUAACACAUGCAAGUCGAACGAGAAUCUGUGGAAAGAGGAUUCGUCCAAUUGAAGCAGAGGACAGUGGCGGACGGGUGAGUAACGCGUGAGGAACCUGCCUUUCAGAGGGGGACAACAGUUGGAAACGACUGCUAAUACCGCAUAACAUAUAGAUGUCGCAUGGCAUUUAUAUCAAAGAUUUAUCGCUGAAAGAUGGCCUCGCGUCUGAUUAGCUAGUUGGUGAGGUAACGGCCCACCAAGGCGACGAUCAGUAGCCGGACUGAGAGGUUGAACGGCCACAUUGGGACUGAGAUACGGCCCAGACUCCUACGGGAGGCAGCAGUGGGGAAUAUUGGGCAAUGGGCGCAAGCCUGACCCAGCAACGCCGCGUGAAGGAAGAAGGCUUUCGGGUUGUAAACUUCUUUUGUCAGGGACGAGUAGAAGACGGUACCUGACGAAUAAGCCACGGCUAACUACGUG
rnacentral:rRNA from 1 species